UUGGGUUAGAAUUAUUUCAACAGGAAAGCAUGGGGGACAGAGCUGGGCAAAACUGUUUUUAUGCCAUCUCCCUAGGGCAACUGAGGAUUACUUUGGCUUCUGGCAUAAAUUAAAACAACUCAGGGACCAUUUGACAUCUGGGUAUAGCUGGGGUGCAGUUCUGCUCUGGUGACUCUACUUUCUCUUUGUCAUGCAUAGCAUAUACCUUGUUGGGGCAGCUAAAAGGAUACUGACCCAGCAAAGCUAGCUUUAUACCAUAAUACUUUUGUUGAAGAAGGAAAGAAGACAGAGAAGAGACGGUGCUAUUCAGGUAGGGUCCACGAUGGAUACAGGUAAUGAAGAAAGGAGUAUACUGCAUUCCACAUCACCACUGACAGCCACAUAUUAAUUUUGCACGGUGUUUUUAACUUGCCGAAAAUAUAUUGCAGAACUACAGGAAUGAUUAUUUGAUAAACAAGUUAUUUUUUAGACCACCAAAUUUAGGUGGUAAGGGUACUGAGGAGAGGACCUUAUUUUCAUACAUAUUUGAUAUAAAAUAUAUACCACCUGCUGGAAUUAGUGAGGAAUUAGGAUAAAGUUAAAUCAGUCCAAAUCCAUGGAGUGGGUGGUAAAGUAAUUUUCACUACUUUAUAUAUACACUUUUUUGAUCUUAGAAAAUCUUUCCCUUCAAUGGAAGCA